AGGUUCCUGAUGUUCAUCUAUAAUAUGAAAUGGCCUCCUAAUAGCUCUGCCAUUGGCAUCCAGUGGUUCUGAACUGGGCUGAAGCCACCAGGUAUGAGGUGUUUUGAUUUUGUCCAGUAACUGGAGGAUACACAACUGGCCUUUAUCAGGUAAGCAGCAGUAAAUGCUUAAUGUUCUGUGAUGCAUAGGACAGCUUCCUACAGUGAUGAAUUUUUCCUCAUUCCGAAUGACUUGCUAAAUUGUCUUGGUACUUUUUCCAGGGGGAAAACCUGUUUAAAAUAAUCUAAGUUCAGACUCAAAUUUUACUUUUAUAUGUGAUAUACACUAAGUUUUUUUUUUUUUUUUUUGCAUGACUUUAAUUAUGUGAAUUUUCCAGGAAUGUCAGUAUCAUAUAAAUCCAAAGGAAAAUUGUAGUUUACUUGUUUGGAAAUACUGCAUCACAUGGCUUUUGGUAUUUAAGUCACCAAUACAGAACACUUGUAAAAAAAAAUUUUUUUUUUUUUUGCAAAAGGGAUAAGAUAGAGAUAUAACGGAUUAUUUUGGCACUUUUGAAGAUAAAUGGGAGUGCUUUAAAAAUCAUGCUUGGAAACUGGGCAUAGAUUGGAUUGUCCCAGGAAAAUUGAGUUAUUCAAAAGAGUCCGGAAAGUGUAGUUUUUAGCUUUCCAGCCCCCCAGUACAGGAAGACAGCAGAGGUCAGAAUAGAUAUUGUGAGAAAAUCUACAUAUCCUUAGUAAUAUCUUUGUUUGAUCUAUCAGCUGCAGUGAGAAAGUGUGUUAAAAUUUCUCUCUAUAAUACUGAAUGGGCAUUUUUUCUUUUUCUUCCUUUAAACUUUCACAUUAUAUUUGUAAACCCUACUUUUUAGUGGCAUACAGGUUCAUAAUAUCUUCCUAGUGAAUAGAAACUUGUAUCAAAUAUGCAAUGACCAUUUACAUUUCUAAAUAAUACUUUUUUUUGCUUUGAAAUGUAUUUUGUACGUAUAUGACAAUCUGGGCUUUAUUUUAAUUUUGCUUGACAUCUUUCAUCUUUUCAUAUUUAAUGUUUCUGCAUCCUUAUGUUUUUUGUUUCUGAUAGUUAGCAUGUAGCUGGAUUAAAAAUGAUACUCUAGAGGCUGGGGUUGUGGCUCAGUGGUGGAGCGCUUGCCUAGGAUGUGUGAGGCACUGUGUUCGAUCCUUAGCACCACAUAAAAAUAAAAUAAAAUAAAAUAAAUAAAAUAAAGGUAUUGUGUCCAUCUACAACCCCCCCAAAAUUAAAAAAACAAAAAAAAUGAUAUUCUAGUGCUUUAUAGAUGCACAUAAAGGUGAAAUGCACUGUGAAAUAUGCACAUAUGUAUCUAGCAUAAUUUUGUCAUUUUCAUUCCACUGUUUCCCAUCCUUCUUCUCUCCCCUUCAGUUCCCUUCCUCUCUCUGCUCCACUGAUCUCCCUUACGUUUUCAUGGGAUUUCUGUCUCCCAACUUUUUUUCUUAUUUUGAACUAGCUUCUGCCUAUGAGAGAAUGUUCAAUCCUUGGCUUUUGGGUCUGGUUAUUUCACAUAGCAUGGUGUUUUCCAGUUUCAUUUAUCAGCAAAUGCCAUAUUUUGUUCUUCUUUAUGACUGAGUAAAACUCUAUUGUGUAUAUAUACAGCACAUUUUCUUUACUUAUUCAUGUAUAAAUAAGUGGAAAAAAGACCAGUAGAGAAAGGAAAAUGGGAGGGAAGAGGGAAUGGGAAGGGGAAACACUGGGGCUUGAAGUGAAGCAAAUCAUAUUCCAUGCUUAUAUAAUUAGGUCAAAAUGAGCCCCAGGAUUAUGUGAGACUACAAUGCACUAAGACAUAAAAAUAUCAGUCUAGGUUUUUAUCUGGCAAAUGUAAUCUGUUUAUGUUAAACCACAAUCACUGCUUGAUUUGAAUCCAUUUUUAUCUUAUUUUCUAACCCCCCCUUUCAAUAUUUCCCAUUUAAUUGUCUUUCAUUUUGUAUUAACACCAGUUGUCAAUUUUUUCUACACUAGUUUUGAAAAUAACAUACUACUUUAUUUCAUUUAUUUUAAGAGAUAGAAAUUUUAACAGAUACACUUAAUAACAUAUAAAGGAAAUUAAUAUCUUUAUUCUCUUUCUGUAAGAAAUUAAAUGUCUUAACAUCAAUCCUUUACUCUCCUUGAAUAAUUAUCAUUGCCAGGAAUUUAGUUUUACAUUGAUGUUUUGACCCUUCAAAUCACCAUACUUGUUAUCAUAUAUAGUCCAUAUUUGUUUGUUUACCAAUUUCUUUGUUUAUUAUUCCCUUUUACACCUAAAACCUACUUUCUAGGAUCAUUUUCUUUAAGUACUUUUUUUAUAAAAAUUUUUGUAGUGAGUUUCUAUAUAUUCUAUCUUAGUUUUGCCUUUUUUUUUGGAAAAUAUAUUGAUUUCAAAGUAAAUUUCCUUUGGUAGAGAAUACUAGACUGACAUUUGUUUUCUUUCACUAUUUAAGCCCAUAUCAUUUUACAGGUGUCAGAGAAACCAACCAAUAGUUACUGAGAAAUCAGCUAUUGGUUAAUGUAAAUUAUUUGUAGGUAAUCUAAUCCCAGCCCUUCAUUGUUUUAAAGGUCUCUUUGCUUUUUGUAUUCUGCAGUUUCACUAUACUCAGUUGAGAUUAUUUGUUCUCUCAACCCCAACCUUUUUUUUUUCCUUUGUGUUUACUGGGUUUCUUGAGUCAGUGGAUUUCUUGGAAAAAUUCUUGAUCUAUUAUUCUACCUCAUAAUUUGUGUUAAACCUUAAUAAUAGAUUUUGAAUUGGACAUAAGUUGGGCCUUCUCAUUUAUACAUAUCUCUGGAUGUCUUUUGCAAUUUUUUCUUUUCUGUAUUACUGUUCUGUUUUGUAUAGUUUUUCAAACCAAUCUUCCAAUACUCUCCAGCUGUAUAGUUUAACUCGCCAACUGAGUUUAUGCUUUCAACUCUUAUGUCUUUUUAUUUCUAGAAGUUCUAUUUUUUUAUUUCUCUAAAGUUAUUUGUUAAUUUUUAUAAAUGGUUUUUUUUCUUUUGUCAUACUCUCAAAACUUAUAAACACCAGAAAGAUGUUGAACACAUUUAUGUUCAAUGUUGAUAAUUAUAUAAUCUGAACUGUACAUGAUUCUAAUUACACCACUUUUUGUUCUGACUCAAAAUCAUGGUAGCAUGCUUCCUUGUAUAUUUAGUGAUUUUUAAAAUUUUGAGCUGAUGUUAUUAGAAACUUUAAUAAUUCUUGGAGGCUUGAGUUUAAAGUAUGUUACUCCAAAGAGGAUUUGCUUUAUUUGUGUGAAUAACUUUGGACCAUUUAAAAUGAAGAUUUUAAACUGAGAUUAUCAUGUUAAAUUUUGGUGUGAGUACUUGGUUCAAAGAAUAUGAACUUGUGUUUAAAAAGGUUUUAGGGCUGUAUGCUUAUGUGUGUUCACACUUGUGCAUUUUUUUCCAUCUAGAAUCUAAAUUGAAUCAGGUAUUAUCUUUACUAACUUUUGUAUGUGGCUAUUUUUUCUUUCCUCUGAGAACUGCCUUUUGGGAAUCCUGGUUUUACACAGUGGUCUCAGAUUUGAUCUCCAACCCUGUUCAAGUUCACAUUUAGUCCCUUGUCUCCAGGACUUGUUAAAAGCCAGGCUUUAAGCUUCUAGAAAUUGCCAAAAUCCCUGAGGAUUCCCAUGCUUAUUUACCCCUAUUGAUCUGUUCUAUGUGCCUAACACAGAAAUAUAUGUUGAAUUGAAUUGCCCACGAGAGUUGAGUUCAUUCUAUGUGACAUUCUGAAGUGUAAUGAGGGGAGCCAGGGCCCUAACAAGAGCUUUAGCUCUAUUUGAGGAAUAAUGUUCCCAAAUUAGUUGAUCAUCCUGGUUACCAGAGGAUUCAUGAACAGGCCAAACAACUGCCUACUGGGGGUGUGAUCAAGGGACUUAGGUGUGGAGUUUGUUUGGACUGAAACGCUGCCAUCUUCUGAUCCUUGCUUGUUGCUGACCCGAAUGGCAAAAAUUAACACCAUGAUAGACUCAGGAAGAAGUCUCCAUUUCCUUGGCUAUGCUGAGAGUUUAGAAGAUUGUCUUGCCAGAUCUGUACUCUUCCCGCAAAUGGCUCCUUGACACCUGGCAGCAGAGUUCUGUGGCUCAGUAGGCUGUGCCAGAGCAUGCGAUCCCUGGGCUGCCUGGAUCUGCUGUUCAUGUGGCCACGUCUUCAGGCCCUGUCAGGUGGCCAUGGUUUGUGUUGGCUGCAUUGCUGCUAAGGGGGAGGUGGACUGGGGCACGAUGAGUGAGCAACAGGUGUUACCAGGAGUCUAGACAGAAAAGGAUCCUUAUACCCACAGGAGCCUUGGUUUAAAAUAGCUCGUUCCCCAAACAUUCUUCUAGUGGCGCUUGGCCGUCUGGGCUGUGGUUUAAGAUCAUUUGGCAAUUCUCAUUCUGGUAAUCAGAGAACAGCUUCUGGGGCUAUAAAAUCAUCAGCAAGUUAAGCCAAUUAGCUCAGCCAGGAAAGGAUUAUGUACCCCAGCUUUGGUACCAGGCAACCAUGCAAGUUGAUUUUACAAAGUUUGUGUUCUUGCAUACCGUUUUCCUCCAGGCCAGAAAAGUUGAACCUAGGGCUUGGCCUCAGCAGGUGACAUCUUUGGGUCCUUUUUAAAUUGUCCAUGGAGAAACCGGGUGAAAAGUGUUCACACUCUCAUGCAUGGUGUAUGUAGCAAGGAGAGGAGGAGUCCAACUGCAAACAUGGGCAAUCUAUGUGAAGAGUAGUAAAAUGUCCCUUUCCUGGUUGGGAGGAAUUAGAUGCUUUGCAAUGCUCAGUCAUGAGGGGCUAAGGUGGAACCCACGCUAAUCACAAGGUUAAAGCCAGUGGGUCAAUCCAGAUGUAGGCUAACGGGACUCUGUACCAUGUUAGUACAAAUUAGUGCUUCAGGUUUACAUGUGGGGUUAUUGACAGAUAAUGUAAUGUUAUUCUGGCACACAAAAAGAAAGUAAAUUCAGACAUGCCUUUGGAAAGCAAGCACCAAGUUAGUAAUGGGACAUUUUCUUCCUCAAAUGGUUUCUUUUGUGUUUUGGCCCUUGUUACAGUAGCACCUUCUACUGCUUACAGAUGGGAAUAAAAAAGACAAGACAAGGAAGAGUGUAAAAAUAGUCCACCCAACCACAGAAAACUACUGCUAACAUUUUGAUGAAUAUCUUUCCAGCUCCUUCCUUCGUCUCUUUCCUUUUUCAGAAAUGGUGCCAGUCUUGUCACAUGCUUUCUCACUUCUUAUAUUAAUUCAAUCAACGGGUGUUUAAUGAAUGCCUUCGGUGUGACUGACACUGUUCUAGGUUCCAAGGGAACAUUGAUGAACAACACAGGGCCUUUGCCCUCACGGAACUAUGUUCUAGUGAACUUUCUAUAGCAAGCAUAUUUUCCUAUCAAUAGAUCCGUUUAUAAAAGAGUUUUUAGGAGUUACCUACUAUCUCAUUAUAUAGAUGGGUUUUCAUUUAAUUGUAUCCUAUGGCUGGAAAUUCAGAUGAAUUGUAAAUUUUAACUAUUGCAGAGAGUGAUUUGAUGAAUAUUUUUGUAGCUGAUAUUCACAUGCAUCUUUAUUAAAGAUAGAGGCUGUAAUGAAAAAUUCAUAAAACUAAAUAUUUCCUAAGGUAGGGAGAAUAAAUGUGCUCUAUUUGUGUUCUGCAGGCAAUUAGUCCCAAAGACACUUGAGCCCAGAGGGUAUCACUGACAGCCUUGGCUAACUGCACGGCUAGGGUUGGGGCAGACAGGCCACGUGUGGAUGUGUUUCAGCUGACCCAGGUGGAUGCCUGGCAGCACUUGACCUACAGAUCAAUUAAGGACAUUUAUGAGUUUUAGGAGUCUUAAGAAGCCCAGAUGCUCUCAUUGUGGUUUUUUAAAAUAAAGGUGUGCUGCCCCAUGAUGACAACCACAUGAAAUUAUAUUUUAGGAAUCUGAAGAAAAUAAUUCUGCACAAGCACACAUGUGUGAGUUGAGCACAGCCUACGUUUGCACAUUGAGGGUUGGCAAGGAUGCAGUGUAUAUAGAAGGAUCAGCUUUCAGCAUGGUUUCCUAUAUACUAAGCCCUUGUGAAAAGUAUGUGAGAUGAAGCUAUGAGAUGGAUCAGAUCAAAGGAACUAAGGGUUUCUUUCACAUGGCGCCCUAACCUUAUAGAUGGCAUUCAUGAGGCUUUAGAUUUCUGUGUCUUGUGCUCACUGGAGGAAGCACAUUCUUCAUUUGCAGGAAAAAUGAGCCCACAAUACUGGGACCAAUGUAAGGACUUUGCUCUUAUGUCCUGCUCUUCACCAAAUUCUGUCCAGUGUCCCUGACAUAGUGUCUUGCAUAUGUUCUUGAAGCCCCAUUCUUCCUCACCUGAACAACUGCAGAGGCUUUCAUGGGUCACCUUGUUCCACUUCCUUCCAGUCCAGUUUCCACAUAAUGACUAAGUUGUCUUAGGGAAGUGGACAUUUCAUUGUGUUACCACUGGGUUAAAAGCCUUACAUGGCUUCCUGUGACCACUGGGCAAAAUCUACCCUUUAGAGCCUGGCAAGACCCUCUAAACUGCCAUGGUCUACUGGACCAGUCCUGUUUCCUACCACAGACCUCACCUGUUUUUCAGCACAAACCACUUGCUAUACCCUGGGAGUGACAUCAAUUUAGGUCUCUGCAUCCUUGAAGAUGCUCUUCUCUCCUGCUUGGAAUUCCCCCACUUUGUCCCUUAGUGUGUUUCAACUCAUAUGGAGGCACCUCUUUUUUGCAAUACCAUUGCAUGAUGUCACUCUUGGUGUUAUAACUUACCAUGCUACUCAUAUACUUGUCAGCUUGCCUGGAUCCUUUACUGGACUUUAAACUACUUGAGAAUCAGGCCCGAACCUUAAUUUUUUAUCACCUAUCCUAUUGUGAUGCCUAACAUAUAUUUGUUGUUGAACAGAUAUUUAUAGAAUCAUAAAUAUUGGAAGGGUGGAUACAAUUUGGAUUGCAAAAAUAUUUUCUCUGAUGCAAACCUAAUCAGAUAUAAUAUAUUCAUAGUUUUUAGUUUUGUUUCACAUUUUCAGAUACAUUCAAAAGUAUUUUAUCACAUAGGAUUUGUUCUUAUACAUGCAUCCCUUGGACACAUGAUUUGAUGUUGCAAACACACACACACAAACACACACACACACAUUAUUGAACUAGUAAAUGGUAAAUUCUAACACCAGAUUAUCUGACUCCAAACAAUGAUCUUGAUUUCAAUACUCUCCUAUCUCAGGAUUUUGGUAUUUUGAAUGCAAGAGAGGAAGUUGGAAAUGAAGAGAAAGGGAAAUGUGAAAAUGUUAGAAUAGCAACAACAACAAACCAACAACUCAAAUAUUAUCCACGGGUUAGUAUAUAGAUAUUAACAAACAGGAAAUUAUUUUCUUCUUGGUAUUUUUCCAAAUAACAUUCUCCCUUAGAAGGCAGUUAGAUGGGACAAUGUGUAUAGUAAAUGGUAAAAAAUUAGCUAUUACACUUACUUCCCCAAAGUUCUUGGCCUUUUUUCCCCCCUUCCUUAUUCUCAUGAAUCUUUCAAGAUCCCUAAUAGAAAUAAAUCUUCAUGAGGGGAAGCUCAAGGCUGCCUGUAAUGAUAAGUAGAAGGCCAUUAAAUAUUCUUUCCAGAAUUUCUUUAGACCUUCUUCCACCUCCUGUCCUACCACCUUUAUUUACUCCCUGAAAUCCCAUGCUUAGGUUUUUCCUAAGGUCAUAUUCACAGAUCAAAUGUGAGUUAAUAUCUCUGCUGGAGUUGAAAGUUAAAACUUUAUCUUUAUGCCUCUGUGGUAAUGAGUUUUGAGCUUCUUUCCUAAAAAAUAUAUUUUUUUUUCUAGAGCAGGGUAUCCAAGGCUACAUUUAGAAAGAAAUAUCUGGUAAGGAAAAGUCUGAAGAAAGCCGUUAGUGGAAUUAAGGGCUCUGCAGAAAUCAUCGCUGGGAUAACACUGAGGGCUGCUACUCACCCUCCUUCUUGCCAUCUUGUUCAGAAUGGUCCCUGGAGUGUAUCUUUAAUAUUCUGAUACAGUCUUUUAAUAUAAUUCUACAGGUCAAUUCAGUCCCCUGAUAGGUAUGCGGUGAGGAGUUAUGUUGGGGAAGAAGAAAGAAAGUCUGUUUAUCUCAAACACACAUUUUGGAGAAACUAGAACAGAGCCUGCUGGUAGAACUGGGUCAGAACACAGCCCAGUGGGUAGAACUAAUGAAGGACAAGAUAACUUCAUAGAUGGGGGGGGUGGAGUAUGGUUGAAAAUGUCACUUCCCCCAGACCUGUUUUUUAAAAAAAUGAUAAAAUAUACAAUAUGUCAUUUUAACCAGCUUUAGAUGGACAGUUCAGUAUAUUUACGUUGUUGUACAACUAUCAUUACCAUCUGUUUCUGGGGUUUCUUUCACAGUGGAAACCUUGAGCCAAUUAGAUAACAACUCUCCUCCUCACAACCAUCCCAGCCCUUGGCAAUUACUAUUUUAUUUUUUGUCUAUAAAAUUGACCACUCCAGUUAUCUGUCAUGAAAGGAAUCUCACAGUAUUUAUCCUUGUGUACUGGUUUAUUUCACUUAGCUUAACCCUUUAUCUUCUGUCAUCCCAUAUGUAGGACACCUAUACCUUCUUCUUGAGGGCCAUUAAAAUCCAUUGCAGCAGGCUGUACCCACUGAAAGCCUCUGUAGGCUUGGCAGUGAGGCUAGACACUGUUGGUAGCCAGGGGAGAUUCUGUUCUUGUUUAGGAACUAGGCCACGAUUUACCAUGUUUGAUCCUAAUUUGCAUUUUGAAAUAGCUGUCUCCUGCUUCUGGUGGUUCCUGCCACACCAUACAGCAUGUGGUUUCCGGGGUGGUCUUAGGAGGUGUUGUGCUGGUCAUGUUGACAGCCAUGUCGGGUGUUGGAAGAGCUGGCCAGUGAUUGCCAGUCUCCUGGACGCUUGCCUUGUCCAUUGCCUGGAAGCCUUGUCAUGUCUGACAUGGCAGGGUCCGGUUUCCAGGGGAAAGGUUCUUUUGGGAUUUGUAUGAAAUCUUGGCUGUCCUGUCUCCCCAGAAAAAUCUGAGCAAGCAGCAGUUGUAAUUAAUACUUGGUGGAUCAUGCCCAACGGAGAGUUAACUCCUGACAGUCCAGUGUUCUGAAUGGGUGGAACACAUGGUGUUGAUUGGGUGCUAGCCAUGCUUGCUAAUGAAGAAUCCACUUUACUUAUUUUGGCCUUGGGGUUAGCCAAGGAUAGGAGCCCAGAAAUAAAGUAGUGCCCUAAAAGCUGCCUCCCACAGCUCUGAUUGCUUUUCUUUCACUUCCUCCACAGGACUCGUUUCAAUUCAAAGUUGCUUCUAUAUAUUUUAGGUUCUGAGUAAGACAAUUUUUUUUUUUAAAAAAAGUUUUAAUUGAAGUAAAACACAUACAAAAAUCGUACAAAUCACAAAGAACAGAUUGAUGAAUUCUCUAAAACUCAUGUAACAUGCAGACCAAGAAAUAGAAUAUUCGUAGGGUCCAACAACCACCCUGCCUCCAUCUACAUUACAAGGGGUGCAGUGUUCUGAUUUCUAAUAUCCUAGAUUAGUUUUGCCUGUUUUUGAACUUGAUAUAAAUAGAAUCACAGGUGCCUACAAUUUUGAGGGUGGGUCCUUUUACUUAGCAUCAUAUCUGUGAGAUUCACCCAUAUUUUUGGGUGUAGUUGUAACUCAUUCUCCUUGCUAUAGGACAUGCUACUGUAUAUCAUAAUUUAUUUGCCUAGUCUAUCCGUCCAUGAUGAACCACUGUGGGAUCUGAAACAAACAGAAAAAUUAGUAAAACUAAGUCUGCCAUUAUUAAGAAUUUUGAUGUUUCAUUCAUGGGUUUUUGUAUUAAUUUUUAUUUUGAAAUAUGGCUUUCAAUCUUAUUUAUCUUGACUUUGAGGAUUUUUGGCAUCCCCCUUAAUUUUGCUCCUAAGGAGUUUUUUCACUUAUUUCACUCUGUUCCCAGCCCUAUCAACUAUAGAGGAAUAUAUGGGUUGUAUACGGUUUUUUGGCAAUUAUGAAUAGUAUUGCUAUUCACAUUCCUGCACAUGUCCCAUGGUGACCGUGUGUAUGCAUUUCUGAUAAAUAUACAUAUACAUACCAAUAGGUAAAAUUUCUACCAGAAAGUUUAUUUUUUUGGUGUUGGGGAUUCAUCCCAGGGGCAUUUCAUCACUGAGGCACAUCUCCAGUCCCCACCCUGCCCUUGUUUUAAAAAAAAUUUGAGACAGUUUCUCGUUAUGUUGCUGAGGCUGGCCUCCAACUUGCGAUUCUCUUGCCUCAGCCUCCCAAGUUUCUGGGAUCACAGGUGUGCUCCACCAUGCCUAGUUCUACCAGCAACUUUUUGAUGAAAGGACUGAAUACAGGGCCAUGAGGCUUUUGUUUUCCUUUCCACGUGUCAGCCUCUCCUCUCCAGCCCUAACACACGAGGCUGAGUAUGUCCUUCUGUUGGCAAGAGAUGUGUGAGAAGCCAAAGCACUGGGCACAUUGGCAUUGAACAUCAGGACUUGGGGAGGCCUAAAGAACCAAUGAUGAGCAGACGAGGUGCUCAGAGAGCACAGAGCAGGCCUCUACUAGACAGAGGCCUUCUGAAACAAGAUUGUCUGAGCUAAACUAUGGUUAAUGUCGUAAUGACAUACACUUACAUGAUUUUUGUAUAUAGAUGUAAUCAUUUAGAUUAUUUUACUUUAUUCAGAGUCUCUAAAUGUUCAAAAAAAAUUUCAAAUUGAUCUGUUAAAAACAACAACAACAAAAUUUGACCUUUGGUCUUUUGGUAUUGACUUGGCAUGGGGGGUGGAGAGAAGAAUAGAUGUUCAGUGGAGUGGACAAACGGGAAUGAAGGGAAGGGAGAAGGACGGAAAAAGGAAAGACAGUGGAAUGAAUCCGACAUCACUUUCCUAUGUACAUAUAUGAAUAUGCCACGGCGAAUCUCACCAUCCUGUACAUCUACAAAAAGUUAAUUAAAAAAUCUAACUAUUGGUAAAUGGCAGAAAGACCAAUAGAGAGAAGGGAGUAGGAUGUGGGAGGAGAGAAGGGGAAGGAAAAGUACUGGGGACUGAAUUAGAACAAGAUAUAGUCUAUGCUUUAAAAAAUAUGUCAAAAUAGAUUUUGCUGUCUUGUGUAACUAAAAAGAACAAUGACACAAAAUGGAGAUGUGUCAAAGUUUCCCACUAGUUUUGAUUUUGUAAUAUCUUUAAUUAAUGAAAUACUUUGGUCUCAAUAACACAUGACUAUGAAGUGAAGUUCCCUUUGAAAUUACUUAUCCCUCUCUGAGGUUAGGAACAAAGAAAAAUAUCUUCUUUCAUCACUCUCAUUCAACAUUAUACCAAAGUUCUAUCCAAUGCAAUAAGGCAGGUGAAAAAGAGGCAUAAAGUUUGUAAAGGAAGACAUAAAACUGUCUGUUUGCAGAUGAUAAUGAUUAUUUAUGUAGAAAAUCGCAAAGAACUAACAAAAGACAUUCCAGAACUUGUGAGUUUAGUAAUGUCAUAGGAUACAUGAUCAAUAAUCAGAAGUCAAUUGUAUUCUAUUUAUUAGCACAAAUGUUUGGAAUUUGAAAACUACAAAAUGAUAAUACUUUCAAUAGCACAAGAAUAUUUAAAUGUAUAUAAAACAAAACAUGUAAAGGAUCUGGAUGUUUAAAAUUAUAAAACAUUGAUGAAAGAAAUAAAAACCCAAGACCUAAUUAGUGGAGAGAGAUGCUGUGUUCAUGAAUUAGAAGUCUCAAUGUUCAGACAUCAUCUUUCCCCAAUUUGACCUGUACAUCUAAAAACAGUCCUCAUCAAAGUCCCAGUGAGAUUUUUCUUAAUGAUAAGCUGAUUCUAAAAUUUGUAUGGAAGACAAGUAAAUUAGAAUAGACAAACAAAUUCUGAAAAAUAAGAACUCACAUUACCUGCUUUCAAAACACAUUACAAAGUUAUAGUUAUAAAAAUCCAUAGAAAUAGUGAGAGGAUAGACUUACAGAGGAAUGGAACAAAAUAUGUAGCCCCGAAACAAACUCACACACAUAUAAUCAAUCAUCUCCAAGGGCCUAGGGGACAAUGGCCAUUCAUGGAACAAAGAUUGUUAUUUUCUUUCCUUUUUUUAUUGUCUUUUUUUUAGUUCUAUAUGACAAUAGAAUUUAUAUUGACAUAAUUAUAAAAGCGUGGAAUAUAAUUUGCUCGAGUUCAGUCUCAAGUACUUCCCCAUCCCCUCUCUUUCUCCCACACUGUUCCCUUCCCUCUACUCUAUGGAUCUUUCUGCUAUUAUUUUUUAAAAUUAAUGUCCUGUGAAUAUAUGUGGUGGUGAGAUUAAUUGUGGUAUAUUUAUACAUGUGCAUAGAAAUGUUACAUCAGAUUCAUUCCACCAUCUUUCCCUAUCCUAUCCUUCCUCCCUUCCCUUCAUUCCCCUUUUGUCUACUCCACUUAUCAUUUUUUUCUAUUUUUUUUAUCCCCCACCUUAUUUUGGAUUAACUUCUACAUAUCAGAGAAAUCAUUCGACCUUUGACUCUUUGGAACUGGCUUAUUUCACUUAUCAUGAUAGUCUCUAGUUCCAUCUGUUUACUGGAAAAUUCCAUAAAGCCAUUCUUUAUGGCUGAGUAAUACUCCAUUGUAUGUACAUACCAUAUUUUCUUUAUUCAGUGGCUGGUCUUUUCAACAAAUGGUGCAGAAAUAGUUGGAUGUCCAUAUGAAAAGCAAAAUAAAGCAGCUUGGCAUGUAUAUCACACUUUAUGAAAAUAUAAAACUUAAAACUAUAAACUUGUAGAAGAAAAUCUAUGUGACUUGGGAUUUGGCAAAGGUUUUAGAUAUGACAUCAAUGCAUAAAAUGAAUACUCCUGAGUCUUUGCUGAUGUAAAUAAGUACAUAUGGGAGAAUUCUAUGAAGAAUUCUAUGAAGAAGAAUUCCAGUGAAUAAAUAUAGAAGGAAUGAGGGAAAUAGAAACAUUGCCAUUAGAACACCAUAGUAACAAUUGCUGCUGGCAAGAUUGGAGUAGACCAAGGAGACAGCAGUGGGUGAUCCUGGAGUAUACCCUGGAGCAAUCUGAAUAAGGUCUGUAGUUUAGUUCAGUUGAUAGUUUUGUUCCAAUGCUAAUUUCUUAGUUUUGAUAAUUGUACAAUGGUUAUGAAAGUGGUUUAGCUUCAAAGAAGCUGGGUGAAAAGCAUAUAGAAAAUCCCUAUCACACCUAUAACUCUUCUGUUAGUUUAAAAUUAUUUCAAUAUAAAAUAAAACCAAAUCCCCUAUACUCACCUUUCCCCCGAAAACAGAGAAUUGUGGGAGCAUCCUGUUAGUUUUAUUUUUAAAAGCAGAUUCCAGAAAACUUUCCUCUAGCUCUUUCUAAGAGUUUCUCCCAUUUUCUCUCACGCGUCCUUGGCACUGUGUCUGACUUAAUUGCAAAUAAAAUGAUUCCCACUAAAUCUUCACUUUGAUGGACACAGCUGCCCUCCAGCAUACUGGCCUUGAAGAAGGGAAGCUCUUCCUUUGGCUAGUCCAUUUUAAGGAUGUCUCUAGGUCCUCCCUCAAUCUACCAUGUCAAAUUAGAGUAUAGAUUGUGUUUUUUAAUAGUAUUACUGGGUAUAAGAUAUAAUAGAAUAGAAAGUUCAAAAAAGGUUCAUAUAUUUAGGGCCCAUCAUUUUUUCACUAAGGUGUCUAGUCAAUUCAUUGGUGUGUGUGUGGGAGGAGAGUCUUUUCAAACAAAUAUUGCUGGAAAUAUUGGAUACUGGUAAAACUGAAAGCAAAUCCUUUCUCAUUUCUUAUAUAAAAAUAUUUUUGAUGUCUUAUACACAUAUGUGGAAAACCCAGACCAUAAAUCUUAUAGAAAAACAUAAACAAAUGUCUUCAUGAACUUUGUGUAGGAAAGCCUCACUGGAUAAUGUUCAAAGAACUAAAGAAGAAAAACAUUUGGUAAGUUGAAUUUCACCAAAAUUGAAAAUUCCUGUUCAUCAAAGUAUACCAUUGAAAAAUGAAUAGAUAAAUCAUAGACUAAUAAAAAAAAUACAGCACAUAUAUGUGACCAAGACCUUGUAAUCAGAAUGUUAAAAAUAAUCUACAAAUCAACAAUAAAAGAUGUAAAACUCAAUAAAAAUUGGAAAAAGUCAUGAAUAAAUAUUUCAUAAAAAAGAUAUAUGGAUGACUAAUAAAGUGUUCAAGAUCAUUGGCUAUCAGAUAAAUGCAAAUUAAAAUGCCAUACAUGAAUCUGAUUCAACCCCACUAGGAUGACUAAAACACAAUUUUUUAUUAUAACUAUUAACACAUAUUGUACAAAUGAAUGGAUUCUCUGUGAUAUUUCCAUACAUGCAUUCAUUAUGUGUUGAUCCUGCCCACCUUCCUCUUCAUCCUCUGGGCCCCCUUCCAGUCCCUACAAAUUCCAUUUCUACUUUCAGAUAAUCUUUAAAAUUUUUUUUCCAUAUAUCUGAGAAAACAUGCAUUACAUGUCAUUCAGUGUCUGGCUUAUUUCACUUGAUAUGAUGGUCUCCAGUUUCAUUCAUUUUCUGGCAAAUAACAGGAUUUCAUUCUUCAUGGCUAAAUAAUACUUCAUCGUGUAUAUAUGGCAUAUUUUUAAAUUCAUUUAUUUGUUGAUAGGCACCUAGGCUGGCUACACAUAUUAGUUGUUGUGAAUAGUGCCACAAUAGACAUAUGCGCAGGUAUCUCUUUUGUUGCUGACUUAAUUUCCUUCUGGUACAUACUCGGCAGUGAGAUAUCUGGGUCAUAUGAUAAUUCUAUUUUGAGGAAUACACAUGUUUUCCCCCAUAGUAACUGAACUAAUUUAUGUUCCAAAUAGUUGUGUAUAAGGGAUUAUUUUUCUUCAUGUCCUUGCCAACACUUUUUUUUUUUUUUUUGAUAAUGGACAUUCUAACUGGGGUGAGAUGGAGUCUUAUUGUAGUUGUGAUUUGUAUUUCCCAGAUGGCUAAUGAUACUGAGCAUUUUUUCAUACAUUUAUUAGCCAUUUGUAUCUUUGGAGAUGUGUCUUUUCAGAUGCUUUGCCUGUUUUCAAAUUGGAUUCCUUGUUUCAAUUGUUAAGUUUUUUGAGUUCUUUAUAUUUUCCUGAAUAUUAAUCCUCUGUCAGAUGAAUAGCUGGCAAAGAUUCUCUCCCAUUAUGUAGGUUGUCUAAUAAUUGUUGAUUGCUUUCUUUGUUGUAAAGAAGUUUAUUUAUUUAUUCAUUCUAAUUAGGUAUUCUAAUUACGAAUUUUGAUUCAUUGUACACAAUUGCAGCACAACUUUUCAUUUCUCUGGCUAUACAGGAUGUAGUGUCGCAUCAUAUGUGCAGUCAUACAUGUACCUAGGGUAAUGAUGUCCAUUUCAUUCCACCAUCUUUCCUGCACCCAUGCUCCCUCCCUCCCCACCCUCCCUUUUUCCCAAAGUUCCUUCAUUCUUCCCAUGCUUUCCCCCUCCCUGUUACAGAUCAGCAUCCACUUAUCAGAGAGAACAUUUGGUCUUUGUGUUUUUGGGAUUGGCUUACAUUGCUUAGCAUGAUAUUCUCCAAUUCUAUCCAUUUACCUUCAAAUGCCAUAAUUUCAUUCUCUUUUGAUGCUGAGUAAUAUUACAUUGUGUAAAUAUACCACAGUUUCUUAUCCGUUAAUCUAUUAAAGGGCAACUAGUUUGUUUCCACAGUUUAGCUAUUGUGAAUUGAGCUGCUAUAAACAUUGAUAUGGCUGUGUCCCUGUAGUAUGCUGGUUUUAAGUCCUUGGGGUAUAGACUGAGGAGUGGGAUAGCUGGAUCAAAUGAUGGUUCUAUUCCAAGUUUUCCAAGGUAUCUUCAUAAUGCUUUCCAGAUUGGUUGCACCAAUUUGCAGUCCCACCAGCACUGUAUAAGUGUGCCUUUCCCCCACAUCCUCGCCAACACUUACUAUUGUUUGUAUUCUUAAUAGCUGCCAUUCUGACUGGAGUGAGAUGAAAUCUUAGAGUUGUUUUGAUUUGCAUUUCUCUAAUUGCUAGAGAUGUUGAACAUUUUUUCAUAAGCUUGUUGAUUGAUUGUAUAUCCUCUUAGAAGUGUCUGUUCAGUUCGUUGGCUCAUUUAUUGAUUGGGUUAUUUGUUUUUUUGGUGUUAACGUUUUUGAGUGCUUUAUAGAUCCUAGAGAUGAGUGCUCUAUCUGAUGUGCUUGUGGUAAAGAUUUGCUCCCAUUUUGUAGGCCCCCUAUUCACUGAUUGUUUCUUUUGCUGAGAAGAAGCUUUUUAGUUUGAAUCCAUCCCAUUUAUUAUUCUUGGUUUUAAUUAUUGCACUAUGGGAGUCUUAUUAAGAAAGUUGGGGCCUAAUCUGACAUGAUAGAGAUUUGGGCUUACUUUUUCUUCCAUUAGGCACAAGGUCUCUGGUUUAAUUCCUAGGUCAUUGAUCCACUUUGAGUUGAGUUUUGUGCAUGGUGAGAGAUAGGGGUUUAGUUUCAUUUUGCUGCAUAUGGAUUUCCAGUUUUCCUAGCACUCUUUAUUGAAGAAGCUAUAUUUGCUCCAAUAUGUGUUUUUGGCGCCUUUGUCUAGUAUGAGAUAACUAUUUAUGUAGGUUUGUCUCUGUGUUUUCUAUUCUGUUCCAUUGGUCUAUAUGUCUGUUUUGGUGCCAAUACCAUGCCAUUUUUGUUACUAUAGCUUUGUUGUAUAGGUUAAGUUCAGGUAUUGUGAUGCCUCCUGCUUCACUCUUCUUGCUAAUGAUUGCUUUGGCUAUUCUGGAUCUCUCAUUUUUGCAAAUAAAUUUCAUGAUUGUUUUUUCUAUUUCUUUAAGGAAUGAUGUUAGGAUUUUAAUUGGAAUUGCAUUAAAUCUGUAUAUUGUUUUGGGUAAUAUGGCCAUUUUUUAUAAUUUUAAAAAUUUAUUUAAAUUAGGUAUAUAUGAGUAGUAGGGCCAUUUUGACAAUAUUAAUUUUGCCUAUCCAAGAGCAUAAGAGAUAUUUCCAUCUUCUGAGGUCUUCUUCAAUUUCUUUCUUUAGUGUACUGUAAUUUUCAUUGUAGAGGUCUUUGACCUCUUUUGUUAAAUUGAUUUCCAAGUAAUUUUUUUGAGGCUAUUUCCUAAUUUCUCUUUCAGAGGAUUCUUCAUGGAUGUAUAGAAAUACAUUUGAUUUAUAGUUAUUGAUUUUACAUCCUGCUACUUUGCUGAAUUCAUUUAUUAAUUCUAGAAGUUUUCUGGUAGAGUUUUUUAGAUACUCUAAGUAUAUAAUUAUGUUAUCAGCAAAUAAUGAUAGUUUGAGUUCUUCUUUUCCUGUUUGUAUCCCUUUAAUUUCUUUCAUCUAAUUGCUGUGGCUAGAGUUUCAAGGACAAUGUUGAAUAGAAUAGAAAUGGUAAAAGAGAGAGCAUCCCUAUCUUGUUCUAGUUUUUAGAGGAAAAGCUUCCAAUUUUUCUCCAUUUAGAAUGAUGUUGGCCUGAGGCUUAGCAUAGAUAGCUUUUACAAUGUUUAUGUAUUUUCCUACUAUCCCUAGUUUUUCUAGUGUUUUGAACACAAAAGGGAGCUGUAUUUUGUCAAAUGCUUUCUCUGUAUUAAUUGAUAUAAUCAUAUGAUUCUUAUCUUUAAGUCUAUUGAUGUAAUGAAUUACAUUUAUUGAUUUUCAUAUGUUCACCAAACUUGCAUCCCUGGAGUGAACCCCACUUGAUCAUGGUGCACUGUUUUUUAAAUAUGUUUCUGUAUGCGAUUUGCCAAAAUUUUAUUGAGAAGUUUUGCAUCUAUGUUCAUCAGGGAUAUUGGUCUGAAAUUUUCUUUCCUUGAUGUGUCUCUGACUGGUUUUGGUAUCAGGAUUAUACUAGCUUCAUAGAAUGAGUUUGGAAGAUUAUUCAUGGAAUAAUUUGAGGAGUAUUGCUAUUAAUUCUUCUUUGUGAAUUUAACUCAGCUGUUAAUUUGUCUGGCCCUGGGCUUUUCUUGGUUGGUAAGCUUUUGAUGGCAUCUUCUAUUUCCUUGCUUGAAAUUGAUCUGUUUAAAUUGUAUAUGAAAAAAAAAAGAAAAAAAAAUAAAAUAAAUUGUAUAUGUCCUCUUGACUCAGUUUGGGUUGAUCAUAUGCCUUUAGAAAUUUGUUGGUAUCUUCAAGGUUUUCUAUUUUACUGGAGUAUAAAUUUUCAAAAUAGUUUCUAAUUUUCUUCUGUAUUUCAAUAGUGUCUGUUUUGAUAUUUCCUUUUUCAUCAUGAAUUUUAGUAAUUUGAGUUUUCUCUCUCAUUCUUUUCAUUAGGGUGACUAAGGGUUUGUCAAUUUUUACUUUUCCAUAAAAUCAACAUUUUGUUUUGUCAAUUUUUUGAAUUGUUUCUUUUGUUUCAAUUUUAUUGAUUUCCAUCCUAUUUUUAAUUAUUUCCUGUCUUCUACUAAUUUUGGGGUUGGUUUGUUCUUCUUUUUCCAGGACUUUGAGAUUUUUAUUUAGGCCAUUCACAUUCAGAUCAUUUAUUUGUUGACUUUUUAUCCUUUUAAUGAAUGAGUUUAAUGCAAAGAAUUUUCCUCUUAGCACUGCCUUCAUAGUGUCGCAGAGAUGUUGAUAGGUUGUAUCAGAAUUCUCAUUUACCUCUAAGAAUUUUUGUAUCUCCCCUGAUGUCUUCUGUUAUCCAUUCAUCAUUCAGUAGCAUAUUAUUCAGUUUUCAGGUGUUAGAGAGGCUUCUAUUUUUUAUUUUAUCAUUGAUUUCUAAUUUCAUUCCAUUAUGGUCAGAUAGAAUGCAGAAUAAUCUCUCUCUCUCUCUUUUUUUGUAUUUGCUAAGACUUGCAUUGUGGCAUAAUAUACGGUCUAUUUUGGAGAAUGAUCCAUGUGCUGCUGAGAAGAAAGUGUAUUCACUUGUUGUCUGAUGGGAUAUUCUAUAUAUGUCUGUUAAGUCUACAUUAUUGAUUGUUUUAUUGAGUUCUAUACUUUCUUUGUUUAGUUUUUGUUUGGAAGACCUAUCCAGGGGUGAGAGAGGUAUAUUAAAGUCAUCCAGUAUUAUUGUGUUGUGGUCUAUUUGAUUUCUUGCAGUUGAGAAGGAUUUGUUUGAUAUACAUAGAUACUCCAUUGUUUGGGGGCAUAAAUAUAUAUGAUUAUUAUUUCUUGUUGAUGUGUGAAUCCCUUAAGCAGUAUGAAAUGUCCUUCUUUAUUGCUUUUCACUAACUUUAGUCUGAAGUCCACUUUAUCUGUUAUGAGAUAACCUUUCACCUUCAGUCUGUGGAUGUCUUUUCCUGUGAGACAGGUCUCUUGAAGGCAACAUAUUGUUGAGUCUUUUUUUUUUAAAAUCCAAUCUGUUAGCCUAUGUUUUUAAUUGAUUUUUAUUUAAGCCAUUCACAUUCAGGGUUAUUAUUGAAAUAUGAUCUGCAUCUUGGGCAUUUUGGUUUAUUUUUGGUUUUUAACUUGACUUGGUUUUUCCUUUGAUGGGCCUUUCCUUUAGUGUGUGAAGAAGCUUUUUAAUUUGAUGUAAUUCCAUUUGUCAAUUCUCUAUUUUAUUUCCUAUGCUUUUUGAAUCCUAUUCAGAAAAUUUUCUGUGCCAACAUCUUAAAGUAUUUCCUCCAAUAGUUUCAGUUUCAGGUCUUACAUUAAAGUCUGUGGUCCCUUUUGUAUGUUUUUUUUUUCUUUUUAUACAGGGUGAGAGAUGAGAGUCAAGUUUCAAUAUUCUGCAACUGGAUAUCCAGUUUUCCCAGUUGAAGAGACUGUUAUUUCUCUAGUGUAUGUCUUUGGUAGUGUUGGCUGAAGAGGCAGGAUUUGUUUGAUUCAUUUAUUCUGUUCCAUUGGUCUCCCUGUUUUAACAUCAACACCAAGCUCUUCUUGUUAUUAUGGCUCUGUAGUAUGCCUUGAAUUUGAGUAUUGUAAUGACUUUGGCUUUACUUUUCCUUGGGAUUGCUUUAGCUAUUUGGUGUCUUUCAUAUGAAAUUUAGGACUUUUUUUUUUAAUAGUUUUAUACACUGAAUCUGUAGGUCACUUUGGAUAGUUGGACAUUUUAACAAUAUUAUUAACUAUUUCAAUCAAUGAUCUUAGGAGGUCUUUUUACCUUUUAGUGUCUUAGAUUUCCUUUUUUACUGUUUUGUAAUUUUCAUUGUAGAUAUCUUUCACAUCCUUAGUUAGAUUUAUUCCUAGGCAUUUUAUUUAUUGGUUUAUUUUUGUGGUUAGUGUGAAUGGGAUUACUUUCCUGAUUUAUUUCUCAGUGAAUUUAUUAUUACUUUCUAGAAAAGUUACUGACUUUUGUAUGUUGAUCUUCUAUCCUGCUACUUUAUUGAAUUUGUUUAUCAGUUCUAAUAGUCUGUUGGUGGAGUAUUUAGGUUUUUAUAUGUAUAGAAUCAUAUCUGCAAUCAGGAAUAAUUUGACUUCCUCCUUUCCUAUUUGUAUGCCUUUUCUUUCUCUUGCCUAAUAACUUUGACUAAAAUUUCUAGUACUAUGUUGCCUAAGAGUGGUGAGAGUGGAUACUCUUGUUCUUCUUACUUGCUUUCAAGAAAAUGCUUCAGUUUUUAAUAGGUUUGUCAUAUAAGCCUUUAUCAUUUUGAAAUAUGAUCCUUCUAUACCUUAUUUGUUUAGGGCUUUUACCAUAAAGAGAUGUUAAAUUUUAUUAAAUGCUUCGUCUGCAUCUAUUGAUAUGAUCAUGUGUAAUUUUUUUAACCCUUGAUUCUGUUUAUGUGCUAUAUUACACUCAUUGAUGUGCAUACGUUGAACCCUCUGUACAUCUUGGAAAUGAAACCAAUUCGAUCAUACUGUAUGGUACUUUUAAUGUGCUGUUGAAUUUGAUUUGCAGGUAUUUUGUUGAGUAUUUUUGUAUCUAUGUUCAUUGGGGCUACUGGUGUACGGUGUACUUUAUGUUGUGUGCAUGUCCUUUCAGGUUUUCAGUAUCAGAGUAAUUAAUGUUGCCCUUAUAGAAUGAGUUAGGAAGGGUUCCUUUCCUUUCAGUCUUAUAUAAUAGUUUGAGAAUCAUUGGUGUUACUUCUUCAAAAGUCUGAUAUAAUUCAUCAAUGAAGCCAUCAAGUUCUGGACUUUUCUUUGUUGGGGAGACUUUUUAUUACUGAUUUAAUUUUUUAGAAUAUAGUUUUUCAAAAUAAUUCAUAAUGAUCCCUGGAAUUUAUCUUGGUAUCAGUUGUAAUGUCUCCUUUUUCACCUCAAAUUUCAUUUUAUUUGAGUCUUAUUCUUGGUUCAUGAGUUAAAUUUAUAGUUUCAAAGAACCAACUGUUUGUUUCAUUUAUCCUUUCUGUUGUUUUUUUUAAUUAAUUUUUUCUUUUCUUUCUUUCUUUUUUUCUUUUGUAUUUCUGUUGAUUUUUUAGCCUCUAUUUUAUUUGUUUCUACUCUGAUCUUUAUUGUUUUCUUCCUUCUACUAAUUUUGAGUUUGGUUUGUUCUUGCUUUUAUAAGACCUUAAGAUACAUCAUUAGGUUAUUUGCUUGAGAUCUAUCUAUCUUUAAAAAAUAUACACGUUUUACACACACACACACACACCUAUAUAUGUAUAUGUGUAUAGUUAUAUAUAUGUGUGUGUGUGCUCUAAUAUGUGCCUUAGUGAUUAUUUAGAAAAAUCACCUAAUUCAUAUUGAUCUUAAGAAACUGAAAAAUGUUUAUUUAGUCAAAAUUUAGUCAAAACAACACAAUGAUGUUAAUAUAGAUGGGAUCUGAACUCAGGGUUUUCAUUUCUGAAAAUAGUCCUUUUUCUUUUCGUUUAACAGUUGGAAGACUUGGGUGUAAAGGUAUGAAAAUUAUGAGGCCAGAUGAAUGCUGCUUAUUAUUUUAUCAAAUGACAAAUAUUUGUUGUGUCAUAGUCACAGGUUAUACACUAAUAUGUGGGUGCUGGGAAGACAGAGAUAGAUAAAAGAUCUGACUUCAGAGCAUUUUUUCCAUUUAUAUAGGGAUCCAGGCAAGUGAAUAAGUGCUAAUAUUUCAGUAGAGCACUGUGAGAUCCCUGAUCUGACUUCAUAGGGAUUAAAGAAAUAUUUUUGUCUGGGUUUUGGUUUUCCCCAAUGCAGACUUUGAGAUAGAGGUGAGAGGAAGUGAGAUAGAGGUGAGAGGAGUUUACUUGAGAACAGAUUUUAGGAAGGUGGAUGAGAGAGUGGGAAAGCAAGAGAGGGGAGGGAGAGAGACCAAAACUAGGUGAGUUUCUGAGCAGGUUUCUGUUCUGGGUGGACAGGAGUCAUUCACACUAGGGACCACCUAAGAGAUGGACAGAGAAUAGAGGUCUACUGAGGGGUGAGCAAGUCAGAUGAGCAGGUUUCCCAGAAACUCACAGUCUUUGCUGGUCCAGGGCGGCCUGAUAAGUGGGAGGAGCAGUGAGAUUCAGGGAGCUGUUGGUGGGUAUGGGGGACAGUCUGAUGAAGGCUGAGGGGCCAAGUGCUUAGUGGUAGGGAAGUACCAGCAAGGUCUGCUAGGCUUCCCUGUGGACCUGAAAUCUGAGUACCAGUUAACUCACUGCAAUUUGCCACAAAAAAGUUUUGUACAAAGGUUCAGAGGUAAAAAGAGAAUAUGAUACAUUCAGUGAGUUAUGAUGAAGGUUUUUUUUUGUUGUUGUUGUUGUGAGGGGGUAUGUGCAAGGGAAGAGGGCAAAGAGGGAAAUGGCUAGAGAGGGGUUAGGGAAGAGGUAUAGACUGAAAUACAAGGGUUGUGUGGUCUGUAUUAGUGAUUUUGAAAACUUUAUCCUGAUGGCAAAAGAGAAUCUUUGGAAGUUUUACAGGGGCGUAAGAUCCGGUUGCAUUUUCAAAUUAUUCUGGUUAUUGUGUGGAAAGCAGAUUAGAGUGUGGUAUGGUUAGAAUCAUGAAAACCACUGGGGAGACUGUUGCAGUGAUCUAGGUGAGGGAUGAUGGCUGAAAUAAAUCAUGCUAACCAGGGUAGAAAGAAGUGCUUGGUAGACACAGUUAAUAGGAUUUGGGUGGGGGGUGGGGAGGUGGAGAGCCGGAGAAGGUAGAGUACAAAUGGGAGAUGUUGAGAGAGGAAAAUAAGGACCAGGACUUCCAGGUUUCUGACCUGGGUAUUUGUCAUUUCCUGAGACAGGAACACUUUAAAUUUGAGCUGUCAGUAGGAGAUCCAAGGAGGAGUUAUUUAAUAAGCCAUAGGAUAUGAAGGUCCUUAAUUCCUUUGGUAGAUCUGAUUUUCAGACUUAGAUUUAGAGGUACUCAGCCUAAAGACAAUGGUUGAAACUGUCAGAUCAAAUGAAGUGGCCCCCCAGGAGAAAAGACAGAGAUUUAUGGGAGGAAUGGGUAAAAACCUAUUGAAAUGUGAAUCCUACCGGAGCUGCCUCUCAAAGUGUGUUUUGCUAUUUUAAUCUGGCCACAAAUGAACCUUCUGUCUCCUAACUUUCAGAAAGUGACAUGCUAAAGGCAGGUUGAAGCUGCAUGCACAACGCCUGGAGCCAGCUUUUCCUGAUUAAAGCUCUCCUCUGGCUCAUGGUGCUGUAUCUGUGGCUGUCCUUGGCAGGGCCUUUUAUUUUGUGAGAACCUUUUUGGAAAGACUGAUUUUUCAUCUUAUUUCUCCUCUGGUUCGGCCUCAUGCGGUAAUAUUUAUGUUGGCCCCUUGCCUUUCUUUUACCAGUUGGGAUGAGUUGUAUUCCCAUAGCCAUUUCCCCCUCUGUUUUGGAGAAAUAAAAAAUGAAAAUGCCAUGUUUGGAGCAGAUGGUUUGCCAAAGAUGUGUCUUUCUUUUGCUGACAUGAGGAAGAAGGCCCAUUUGUUCCAGAGCAACCUAUUUCCAAAAGUAAAAGCAUAUUGGCUAUCCUGGCUGUGGGGAGUGAGGGUGGUUCCCCCUUUGUGGGAAUCUACUUCCGUAAUUCCACGUUUGCACUUCUCCUUGGUAAGUGAAAUUCAUUUUCCAACAGGAUGUGCAAAUUGUGAAUCAUUAAUAGCCUCCCCAAGGCUUUCCACUGGCCUAAUCCAGUCUUACAUUCUGCAGAUUGGUUUUGAGCUUUCAUGUUUAAAAGACACUUCAGUUAUCACUGAGACGCACCAUUGCUUGUGCUCCUAUAUGGUUCUACCAACAUAUCCUAAGCAGUCUGUUUAAUUUUGAGGGUAUUUGUUUAUUAAAACCCCCCUCUUUAAAAAAAGAAAUUUCCUAGGCCUUUGUUUUACAUUUCAAAGUCAUGCAGAAUUACUCCAAUGUUUAUUCUAGAAAACAGCCUUUACAUAUUUAAAUUUAAAAAUUUAAAUUCCCCUAUAGUAGUGGCCUCUUCGUUUCCUCUCCAAGUUUUCCUACUGUCUUCUCCUACAAGGUUUAUAAAGGUUUAUACAUGUUUUAUGUAACCUGGUCACUGUUUAUUUUUUUAUUUUUUGAGUGAAACCAAAUCCAAUUCUUUCAGUUUAGGGUCUACACUUUAAAACAGAAUGUAAUAAAUUAAAAUGGCCACAGUUGUGAAGUUACUUGAAACUCUUCUAGUACCACUUUUUUUUUUUUUUUGUAUUAGGCACUCUGCCACUGAGCUACAUCUCCACCUUUUAAAAACCUUAUUUUACUUUUUAAAAAUUUGUGUCAGGGUCAAACUAAGUUGCUUAGGGCCUUGCUAAAUUGCUGAGGUUGUCCUCAAAUUUUGAUUUUCCUGCCUCAGCCUCCUGAGUUGCUGGGAUUACAGUACUGUGUUACCAUGCCUAGCCUUGGGAUAUCAUGUUUCUUUAUAUAUUUUAAAAUUUUUUAUUUGUUCUAAUUAUACAUGACAAUAGAAUGCAUUUUGAUACAUUGUACAUAAAUGGAGUAUAACUUUUCAUUUUUCUGGUUGUACAUGAUGUAGAAUUGUACUGGUCAUGUAAUCAUUUAUGCGCAUAGGGUAAUAAUGUUUGAUUCAUUCUACUAUGCUUCCUACUCCCAUGCCCCCUCCCCUCCCUUCACCCUCCUCUGUCUAAUCCAAAAUGCCUGUAUUCUUCCUUAGCCACUUCUCCUUAUUGGGAAUUAGCAUUCGCAUAUCAGAGAAAACAUUCUGUCUUUGGUUUUUUGAAUUGGCUUAUUUCUCUUAGUGUGAUAUUCUCCAGUUCUAUUCAUUUUGCAGCAAAUGCCAUAAUUUCAUUCUUGUUUGUGGCUGAGUAAUAUUCUAUUGUGCAUAUGUACCACAUUUUCUUUAUCCAUUCAUCUGUUGAAGUAUACCUAGGUUGGUGCCAUAAUUUAGCUAUUGUGCAUUGAGUUGCUAUAAAUAUUGAUGUGGCAGCUAUAGUAUGCUGAUUUUAAGUCCAUUGGGUAUAAACCAAGAAGUGGGGAUAAUGAGAUCAAAUAUUGGUUCCUUUCCAAGUUUUCUGAGGAAUCUCUAUACUGCUUCCCAUAGUGGUUACACCAAUUUGCAGUCUCACCAGCAAUGUAUGAGUGUGCCUUUUCCCCCACGUCCUCACCAACAUUUAUUUUUGCUUGUAUUCUUGAUAAUUGCCAUUCUAACUGGAAUGAGAUGGAAUCUCAGAAUAGUUUUUUUUUUCAGUUGUUGACCUUUAUUUAUUUAUUUAUUUAUUUAUUUAUUUAUUUAUUUAUUUAUUUAUUUAUAUGCAGUGCUGAGAAUUGAACCCAUUGCCUCACACAUGCCAGGCAAGUGUGCUACCGCUGAGCCCUGGCCCCAACCCUUCAAUGUAGUAUUAAUUUGCAUUUUUCUAAUUGCUAGAGAUGCUGAACAUUUUUUCAUAUAUUUGUUGAUCGAUUGUACAUCUUCUGCAAAGUGUCUGUUUAGUUCCUUAGCCUAUUUAUUGGUUAGGUUUUUUGUGGUUUUGGUGUUAAGUUUUUUGAGUUACAUAAAUAUAAUCUGAAGGCCAUUUUGGGGAUAACCACUUUAUCCUCUUGCCUUUUAUUCUGUUGAUUAUUAAAUAAAACUUCAUAUAUUUUCACUAGAACUACCAUCUUCCUUAUCUUGCAAUUAUGUGGAAGAACUUAUUUCUUCCAGUUAAGUGGCAUAUUCUCUUUUUGGGUGUUUAUUCUGUUAUAUAGACUUUAGCUAUUGACCUCAGGAUCAUGUCCUAUGUACACUUAAGCAUUGUUUCUACUUCAAUAAAUGAUUGAAAGAAAAGUCAUUUAGAAAGGUGUCAAGGAAGGAAAACUAUAUCACAUUAAUUUGCAGCACCUUUGUCUACAAAACAUUCCAGUAUUAAUUCACUUUGGUUAAUAUUCUGCUUAGCAAAAGCUUACUUAUGUUAUACUGCAGUAACAUACAAUCACCAAAUCUCAGCAGCUUCCAGUAAGCAUUUAUUACUUACGAUUUGUACUGAACUCCAGAACUCCAAUAGUUCUUGGAGCUUCUGCAAGUCAGAGGACCAGUCCCACCAUCAAUGGGCUGAGGAUGUAUGCCCCUAUAGGAAUGCUCUGAAAGAACCUGACAGUGAGUGGCAGUGAAUAACUAGAAAUAAUUCAACGACUAUUGGUAAAAAUACUUAACAUUUGCAUAUCAGUUCAUAAAAUGUUUUCACAUUUCUCUGUGUUAAUUCUCACAACCAUUAUAGAGACAAAUGUUGCUUUCUCUCUUUAUCAAAUGAGGUCCUAAGAGAAGUAUCUUGUUAUCGCUAGUAAGAGGCAAGUUAGGACUUAAUCUCUAAUAUUCUGAAGCCUAAAUGUUCUUUCCGACAAUGAGGAUGAUGAUGACAAUUAUUAGUCACACUUCCAGACUAUACAUGGCUGGUGUUGUCCUCCCGCGCACAUUUCAGUGUUCUCCUGUCCUGCUGGGUGAGGCAUGUAGGUCUAGCUGCCUCAGUAGAUGAACCUCAACAGCUUAAUAUGAUGGACAUUUAUUUCUCGUUCACAUCAUACUCCAAUGUGGGUUGAGUGACUCUCCAAGGCAGUGCUUUUCUGCAGGUGGGGACCUGGGAAUCAAGGCUGCUUCCAUCUUAUAGGGGGACCAUGUGGAAUAUGGGACUUCCAAGGCUGCCAUUGCAGGGAGUCAGGGGAGGAAGAGAGAAAAGUGGAGAGAGAUGGAGGAAUUGGCUCACACAGCUUCUACAUCAUAAAAAAAUCAUAAGACCUCUGAAGUUAUUCUGCUGAAAUAUUGAUACACUGGACCAACUAUGACCAUAGUAAAAAUGCAGUAUAACUUUGUUUAGCAGGGUUAAUUAUCAAUGUUUAGUGAUUGUUUUUCCUUCUCGUAAGCUUUGCAAUUUUGGACCCAAAGAGGCAAUAAGCACAGGACAGUGGAUUUCUCAGAGAAAAUUAAGGAGCUGAUUUUCCCCCUGACCCUGUGCUUUGCUCUACUUGCUUCUCACAUUUUGGAGCAAUCUUGGGAAGGACUGAGGUUAUUAUUAUUUUUUUGUAUUAGCUUGGAAAUGGGGGCUCAUACUGAGAAAUAAAGUUGUGAUAAAAAAAAAAAUCAAGAAAGCUACAUCUCUUGUGCUCUUUAGUCUGUGGCCUGAGAUGAAUAGCUAGUCUAUUAAGAAAGAACAUCUAAACUAACUUGUGUGAGGAUCAAAUUCACCAUUGUGUUGUUUGUGGAUUCUGACCCUCCCCAACCCCCAACCCCGGGCAGCAACCCCUCUAGCAGUCUGUGGCACCUCUUGUGGUUUUCUGUGGCUCCUCACUGAUGACUGAGCAUGAUCAUUUCAUCCAGAUUUCAUAAAAGGAGUCAGAGCCAGGGUAUAGCACUGAUUCUGAACAAAUAGGUCAUAUCUUACGAACUCUUAAAUUACUUUGUAUUUUUAGUCCCUCUUAGUCAAAUUCAUCCUACAAGUUGCAAAAGAUCUUUUUAUGACAAAGAAACUGGAAGCAAAUAGGAGCAGAGGAAUCAUGGAGUCCUUCAUUAGUGUGGUAAGAAUCUCAGCUUCAGCCUAAAGAGUAGUCAUCCUGGAAGUUAGGUGUGAGGCUAUCUGCCCAGAGCAUUGUGUAGCCAGCUUGACAGUACUUGGGGUUUGAGGAACCUCCAUGGACAGAAUGACAGAAGGAGAUAAGGAAAGGAGAGUGAAGACCAAGGAGCUGGCCUAAGGCAAAUGGGCCAGUUAUCACAGGGAGUGCUGAUUGUGAGAACAGCCCAGCAUGUGUCACCACAACUGUCCUCUAAUCUAGAUCUGGCACUAGGAGUGAGGGGGCUGUCAUAAGAGCAGGUGAGUGCUGACAGGACUAUUUGUUAGUAGAUUUGUGGAUCACUAAGAAGGCAAACUGUGAGCAGCGCUGGUGUUGGGCAAUAGAGAGGUUGAAAGUGGUGGUGGAUCUUUUAGCAAUAGCAGCAACUGCCACCUUUGAUGUUGGCCAUAACUUCUACCGGGAGAGUUAGAAAAGGAAAAGAGAAAAAUGGCAAUCACAGCUAUAAAACUCAAUGGCUGGGCUGGGGAUGUGGCUCAAGCAGUAGCACGCUCGCCUGGCAUGCACGCAGUGCUGGGUUCAAUCCUCAACACCACAUACAAACAAAGAUGUUGUGUCCGCCAGAAACUAAAAAAUAAAUAUUAAAAAAAUUCUCUCUCUCUCUCUCUCUAAAAAACAAACAAACAAACAAACAAAAAAACCCCAAUGGUUUGGUAUUGUUUUUACCCUUGGGGAUUCCAAAAGACGUAGGAAAGGAAAUUUGUGUGUGUGUGUGUGUGUGUGUGUGUGUGUCUAGUGAGUGUAUAUUAGAAGUCCUACAAAAUGGCUGGGGUUGAAGCCAAGCAAUAUUAUUUGUGUCUGUUAUUAUGCUAUUUUUAUUUCUAUGUUUGUGUAGGCUAGGAAAUAUAAGUUAUAUAUUACCUCAUUUGACCCCCAAAGCUUGUACACCAUUAUUGUUCUUCUCAGCCUAACAUAAGUAAACUAUUCCUUUUAUUUGUCAUUUUACUUAGUAUGCGCCUAAUUUUGUUUUGGCUUUCAACUCCUGACCCUGUGUUUCAGCCUUUUCUAUUUGUUCUGGGUGUUUCCCCUUCUCUCAUCCUUUGAAUUAUUUUUAAAAAGGCCUAAUGUAUUAGCAAGAUCCCUUAGUAUCCAUCUUGUCCUCUGGAAACAUCUUUUCUCCCAUUUCUUUUUUUUACCUAAGGCUGUGAACUUGUCUUUCUGCUCUUUCUUUUUAAAGAACCAACUUUAAAAAUGUCUUCUUUUGAAUACCAAAGUUAUAAUUUUACAUUGUAGUAAACUUUUGAACUAUCAAGAAGAAAAAAAUUACCAUAAUUCUAUGACCCAGAGAUAAUUAGUGUUAACACUUGACAUCUUUCCAGUCAUUUUCUAUGUAUAUCUAUGCAAAUACUACAUGUGUAUAUUAUGUGUAUAAAUAGAUGUAUAUAAACAUAAACCUGUCAUCAUGAAAUUGGGAUCAUACCACACGUGACAUUUUGUAAACUUUUUUCACCUAUAAAUAUUUUAUGAUUGUUUUCCAUGUCAUUCAUUUUCCCAGAACAAUAUUCUUGAUGAAUCCAAAAUAUUUUAAAGCUUUGGACACAUCUUGCUAAUGCUUUCUGAAUAGGAGAUAGCAGUGCUCCCCCAUCACCAAUAGCAUUUAAGAACACGGUUGCUGAUUUCCUUGCAUUCUUAUCAGCACAAUUUCAAAAUUUCUGUCAAUUGUCUAGAUAAAAAUGGUCUUAUUGUUAAUUUGCAUUCCUUUGAUUGCUAAUAAGACUGAACAUUUUUCACAUUUAUGGCUACUUGUAUUUUUCUCAUGAGUUGCUUGUUUGUGCGUUGACAUGCAUUUGCAAUUGUAUUGUUGGAAUUUAGUUUUGCAGAAGUUUCCUAAUUUUUCUCCCUUUUCUUUAUCAAGAGUCUCAGACAAGUGAUCGUUCUGAUAUCCUAUCCAAGGAUUUGAAAGUCUGCUUUCCUAAAGCCUACACAGCCAUCACCUCCCUCACAAUCAAUUAAUGUCCUGGUCACUUCUCUUUGAUUUCAUUUUGCCUCCAAUACUUAAUCGAUCAUGUCAGAAUAGUUUGCUCUCAUCCCUUCAACCCCAUGAUUGAAGUCUUUGCACCACUGAUGCCAGAAGACUGAAUAAAGUAGACAGAGGAAAAAUCCUUGAAGAGGGUUCAACACGGAGCUGCAUCUCAACAGGAAAAAUGAAUGUGUGUGGAAUCAUGCAGAGAGUCUUAAGGGUGCAUACGUGGGGAGGCAGGCUGAAGAAGAUUUCUGUUGGUUGGAUGUUUUCUUAAUCAGUUUUUCAUCAAUGUGACAAAUCCCUGACAAAAACAAUAUAGAAGAGGAAAGAUUUAUACUGGCUCAUGGUUCCAGUCACUGCUUCGGGCCUGUGGUGAAGCAGAACAUCAUGGUGGAAGGGCAUGGCAAAGGAAAGCUGUUCAGCUCAUGGCAGCCAGGAAACGAAAGAGAAGAGAAGAAGGGCCAGGUACAAGAUAGAGUCCACAAGGGUCUGCCUAAGGACCUACUCCUUCAAUUAGGUCCCACCUCCUACAGCUCCCAUUAAUGCCUUCAAAUUAUUAACCCACUGAUGAGGUCAGAGCCCUUGAUACCGCCCGGUUUCGUGAUGAGUUCUGCUCCCUCAAAUGUUGAAAUUUGAACAUUAGAGAAGCACAACUGAGGCAAGCCUAUAAAGCCGGUUUAAGAAGGGGUAACACAGACUUCUCCUGGGAGGGAGAAGGGGGCCAUAGUUGGUAUCCUGGUAUCCCAAGAAGCGAGGUAUUCUGCUCUUUUUAUAUGUCCUAGGCUUCCUUUGUUCUUCUGCCUUUUCCCCAUUAUUUUUCUCCUUCUAGCUUAUGUGACUAGGCCCAGGACUAGGCCCAGGAAUGUUUGGUGGGACGGGCCAAAAGGUGGGAAACAGGUGGGCUGAAGGGGGAAGGGAAGGAUGGUGCAGUCCUGGACACAUUAAUUAACAACUUUAUAGCUCCCUGUAGAGAGGGGCAAUUCCUGGGUCAGGUUACCUUAGCAACAGUUUGGAGCCAUGGCAGGUUCUUGAUAAGGGUGGAGGAAGGAUUCUGAAGGAAUUAACAUUUCAAUUCCUCAGGGGACAGUCUCCAACUUCUGGGGACUCACUCAAAAUUGGCCUGACUCAAUUUACUCAAUUUACUAUACUGACUGCCUGUCUAAUUCUGGCUUCGCCCUCAUCAUCCAAUCACUUCUCCAAAGCUCUACCUCUGAACAUUGCUGCAUCCAGGAGCAAGACUUCAACACAUCCAGAUCUGAACCAUAAAAGAUAUGGUAUCAUGAUCCAGGAAAAUAUGGUUAGAGGCCAAGAUCAAAUUCAGGGGAAGUGGACAGAACUGAGGUCUGGAACUUAAAUUGUGAUGGUGAACAAAGAACAGGACUCUCAUCCUGAGACUGUUAGAAACAGGCCCCCUGUUGGGCAAAGGCUGGGCUGGGUCUACAGCACUAUUACGGGUAGAAGAGAAGGCCUUCUCAUCUAAGUUAGGAAGUCAAGGUGAGACAUGUUGAAGUGCAAUGGAGCCCAUAAAACUGGGUAUGGGAGGGGCACACCACAGGGUUGAAGUUGGCCAGGACUGAAUGAAUUGUGGACCAACAACAAGAAUCUCUUUUGAACUUCUACCAGCUUCCUCAUUGCCAUGGACUCCCUCCUCACUGAGCCAUCUCCCAUUGCUUACUUCUGCCUUGUCCCUGUAUGGAGGCUCAUUUUAUUUUAAUUAAUUUUCCUACAUGCUAAACUUUUAAGAUUACCUCUUGCUUUAACUGAAAUUGAUUCUUCAAUGGCCCUGUUGAAGAAAGGAAAGUCAUUCAUUCUUGUACUGCCCAUCAUUGCCCAGGGAAGGUGUUUCCUCAUGUCACACUAAAAGCUUUCUCUUGGAUCGUCAUGCCAGUCUCUUUUCCUUUGGGUUUUAUGCAACCUAGCUAUUCCACUCCCCCUCACCCUGUCAUAAAUGUCACUUUCAACAUUUGUGAUCACUUUGUAUCCAACAUUUAUGGGGAGUUUGGAACCCUGCUAAAGGUUAUGUUUUUGCUCCAAUUUUUGAUUGCCUUUAAUUUCUAUUUAAUAUUUCUAGUGAAAAUUAUUUAACCUUAUGGGGUGUGGUGGCACACACCCGAAAUCCCAGGUACUCAAGAAGCUGAGACUGGGAGAUUGCAAGUUUGAGGGAAACUCAGUUAUACCGUGUCUCAAAAUAAAAUUUUAGAAGGGCUGGGGAUAUAACUCAUGACCAUGUAUUCCUUAUAGCAGAAGAAAGGGAGCCUUUUUGUGCUGGGUUCAAUGCCUAGGACUAGAAAAAAAUUAACCUCUUUGUCUGCUGACCCUCCCUUCGGUUCUGUUUAAGCUAACCACUGAGAUGACUUUCUCUGCAGCUAUCACCAGGAUGCCGAGUGCAGCUGGAGAAAAUUAUACAUCCUUGUCUGAUGGUUCCGCUAAUAGUUCAUGGUCUUAAACUUGAUCAGGUCUCAACUGAGCUCAUCAGUUCUUCCAUUUUCCCAUGAUCAGCUUUCUUUCCCACAGAGUAUGGUCAGAGCUAUUUCAAGUCCUCAAAUCAUUUCUAUUCUAAUCCCAUCACCUUCCAUCCAGAGACAUGCCCUUCUUUUAUAUCACCUAGGGGAAAUUGAGGUCAUUAGUUGUGACUUUAUUCAUUUCUCUCCUUUAUUCUUCACCUGCUAACUUAUCUGUAUCUACUUUCCUAUAUCCUUUAUCAUAGUAAGACGUUCCUUUCCUGUUGAAUGUGAGUCUUCCCUCUUUGCUUUAUAUAACAUAACAUAUCCUUAUUAAGGACUGAUGUUUGUAUUCCUCCAAAAUUCAUGUUUGGAAUCCCUAACCCUCAAUGUGAGGGUAUUUUUGAGGUGGGGCUUUUAGAGGUGAUUAGGUUUAAUUAGGUCAUGAGAGUGGGAGGCACCCCAAUAGGUAGGGUUAGUGUCUUUAUAAGAAGAUGAAGAAACUGAAGCUCUUUAUUUCUUGGCCAUGUGAGAACACAGCAAGAAGGCAGCCACUGCAAGCCAGGAAGAGAAACCUCACCAGAAACAAACUCUUCCUACAAAGCCCAAGAUCAGGGCUUUCUAGGUUCUGGAACUGUGAGAAAUAAAUGUUUGUUUGUUGAGCUGCUCAGUCUAUAGAAGUUUGUUACAGUAGGUUGAGCAGACUAACAUAUCUUGGUUUACAAAUUAUUCUCACUACAUUCUAUAUCUUUAUUCUUUUCCCCUUACUGAUUCUUUCCUUGAUCCAUAACUAAGCACCUGUCUAUUCCUUCCUACAAAUCCAUUAAUAGUGUGCCUUCUCUCCCAGCCAAACUUCCUUCAAGUAUGGUCCCUGUUGGUUAUCUUAACUUCUUCACCUGCUUGUGGAUUCUCAAUUCUCUGCAGUCUGGCCUUUGACCACAGCACUGUGUGAAAACAUCUCUUACAGAGAUUACCAGUCACCCAAUUGCCAAGUUCACUAGGUGCACUUUGGAUUUAUAUUGUGUGUGCUCUUUUGUACCUGACACUGUUGAUCAUGUCUUUUUCUGUAUGUUUUCCCUUUUGUUUCUGUCACUUCAGUCUGUCAGCUACUCUUGCUCUUCCUGGGUCAUCGUCACCCAUUGCUUGACUCUGGAAUUUUCUUUCUGAUGUUUCCAAAGCUUUGGUGCUUGUUCUUCACUAGCCAUCUCCCUUACCCUCUACAGUUUAAGCUUCUAGUAUCACUUUUAUGUUGUUAGUUUUAGAUCUCCCCUUGAACCCAAGGCUAGGAUAUCUAGCUGCCCACAAGAAGACUAUUUGAUCACCCUGUACUGCUCAAACUGAAAAUUAUGCAUGAUAAACGAUCAUUCCAGAAAUCAGUUUAUCAUUUCUCUAUGUCUCCAAAGCUACAUUCUUCCUGUUUAUUCAAUUUUACAUAUAUGAGAUGACCAUGUAUUCCUUAUAGCAGAAGGAAGGGAGCCUUCUUGUGCUUGAGGAAACUAUUUUUAAUCGAAGAAAGAAGAGGAAGAGGUGAAAUAAGGUGUCUAGAUAUAGAUUUGAUUAUUCUACACAGAUACUUUCCUUUCUGCUUUGCCAAAGAAGAAAUUACCCUGCUGUUUGCUGUUGUCCACAUCCUGCUCUAUUAUAUGUGGCAUGUGAGGAGCCCAGUUUCCUGGGCCUGGGCAGUUGCCCUCCUUUGAAAAAUCCAGUGAUUCUGAAAUUUAGAAUGUAAUAUACUUACCUGGAAAUGGUGUUUUGUUUUGCUUUUGCACCACAGAGAUGGUUCUAGCCACAAAAUUAUAAGACUAUGGUAGGAGCUUAGAAAUCUGUGCUUCUAGAUGCUUCCAGGUUAUUUGUUAUAAGGGUGGUUCACAAACAGUGUUUCAAAAACAUCUUUGCAGUUACCACUUGCUAUUUGUCAUUUUUGUUAGCUAUUAAUCAUCUCUGUCCCUGAAAGACCCAUUUAAAUGUGAUGCUACUCUAUUUUGUGGCUUGAAUCUGUAAGAUCUGUACUUGUAGAUCCUACUGUUGGCCAUAUUUAUACAUGUGCACAAAAUAGCAUUCCAUGAAGCUAUGUUUAUUUCUAAAGGAGAUCAGUUUGACUUCUUUGGAGAUAAAAUUAAGUACAGAUUUUUAAGAAUCAGACACAGUCACAGCUCUUAUUCACUGGGAACAUGUAGUUUUUUUUUUAAGGUAUUCAAAUAUGCUGUUUGGGUUUUGAUUGCAAGCAAACUUCUAUCUUAUUCUACUGUAAAAGUAAAAAAUUUCAAAGCUUUUUCUAGAUAAAUGCUUUCAAACCUAGGCUUCAACAUGAUCUUCUCCAUAAUGUGUGUGAUUGAUCACUAAGAGUUGCUAUUCUGUGCUUUUCUUUUCUAAGGGCAAUACUACCCAUCUGUGGUGCCCUGGUCAAGGAAGUGUUCACAUUUACUCCCUCCAAAACUCUGUCUAAAAGAUUUUUCCUUCUUGACAAUGAUGGAAUUUAUAUCUGAAAAUGAAGAAAUUAUUUACAGGUACUUGUAUUUUUGUGAGCAUUAUAACCAAGAACUUCACAAAUGCUGAAGAGCUCAAUUACAACAAUAGCAUUAAGGCAAGUUAUGCUAAUAAACUUUACAUGACCUUCAAAAUGACAGCAUAGUAAGCCAUUAUUCAGCUUCAAUAUUUUUAAUACUGCUUUUCAGUUGCUAUUUCCUUCUCCAUAAGUAAUAAGACUUUCCAUGUGACCUCUUCUGAUGACUUUGGUGAUACUCAAAUGACAGCUUGUUACUUUUACUAUUUGGUAAUUGCAAACAAUUCUGAGCUUCAACUGGGACCUUUAAAAGAGUUGUUGAAUAGUGCAAGAAUAUCUUCUGUUUUUUGCCUUCAGCAAAGACCUUUAAAGGGUCAGUAGGAGGGGACUGCAGGAGAUAAAUGUGCGGUGGCAUAAAUGAGUGAGUCUUCCCAUUAAUUACAGUAUCUUCCAUUAGUGGUGUUUCAGGCAACAUAGAAUUGAAGGUUGAACAUGAUUGUUGUUUGAGGCUUGCAAUUAUGAGCAGGGCAGGAGUUGUAAGUAUAUAAUUCCAGUCAAGGGAAUUUUCUGUCCUAGAUUAGUUUAGUGCUUGAGAGAAUGGAGUUUGGAGUUAAAAAAAAUAGUUUCUCUCUUGGCUCUGCUACUUACUACUAGCUAGAUAACUUUGGGCACAUUGCUUAAUGGCUCUGCACCUCUAUAAAAUGAGAUUAGUAAUACUCACAACCACUCAAUGAGAGAGAUUUCAUUAGUCUCUGAGUCAGAGUUGUGAGGAUCAACAGAACUAGGAACUAACACUUUUAUUCAUUCAACAAAUGGAUAUCAGCUAGCCACUGUGCUAGCGGCUAGAGACAGAGUGGUUUAGCACAAAAAAUAGCAUCGCUAAUUGCGUGGAGUUUACAUUCUAGAUGAAGUGAGACAUAUCACAAAUAAACUAAUACUCAAGAUAAUUAAAAAUUGUAAUUCAUACUGUGAAGGAAUAAAACAAAGUGGCAUUUAAGCAAUCAAUAUUUAAACAAUUUCCUGAUAUGAAAGUAACCAGGGCAGGGCGGUCAUUUAGAUCAGGUGAUCAGGGAAGGUGACAUGUGAACUAGGAAUGAAGGUUGAGAUCAUCUGGGAUUAGCCUACCAGAUAGAGAGUACUCCUGUGUACGUGUUUUAGGGUAGUCUCCUGGUCAAUUUCCACAAAAACUGUGUUUUCCAAAUUAGGUAAUUUAAGUUGAGGAGAUUGAGUAUAUUGCCCAAGGUCACAUAAGUAAUAGGUCAGCAGAGCUCUGCUUAGAACCCCAAAAUUCAAGUUAAUGACCACAACAUGCCAGGCUGCAUGCAUCCUGCAGGAGGAGAGGCAGCUGAGAGCCUGCCUAGCUCACACAGGAUUCUGUGGAUGAGAAGUGGGAGAGUGUUUGUCAUGUGACUUGCUCAGUGUGGGAAGGACACCACCAGAAGCCAGCUCUUCUGCUCUUGGGUACUUUCUCACUGCACACAUUGUCAAACUGGUUUUCAGUGGAAGUCUUAAUGACCCAGUCAGCUGCACCAUCCAUUUCUAGAUUCUAGUUAGCAGCUGAUUCUUGAACUCUUAAAGUGUGUGAUGGUUUGUUGAAAGCUCAAUUAACUUGGUAGAUUUUGUUCUAGAACACAUUCUUGUUUUUGUUUUCUUUAAAGUACAAGGCAUAUUAUGAAACCAAGUUGAAUGGCAUUUAAAGAAACCAUUUUUCUCCCAGAGGUAUCUCCUCAUAGUCACUUUGAUUUUUCUCCCAAAAAGAAACCAUUGUUAGCACUUCUAGGAAUGUUCUGUGAGUGGGCGAGAAUAUAUGUGUACAUAUCCUUUUUACAUAAGACAAAAUGCCAUAUUGUACACAAUAUUUGUGCCUCACUUUUUUCACUUAACAUUAGAUGUUAAAACUCUGUCAUCAUAUAUUAUAAAUUGAUUAAUUCUUUUAAUGGUUACAUAGUAGUUCUUUGUAUGAGCAAAACUAAAUAUAUUUAUCCCAUUUUAAUCAAUUGACCUUUAAGUAAUUUUCAGUCUUUUGUGAUUGCCAUCAUGCUGCAGUAACAUCUUUUAUUCUUCCCCCUUGCAAUACUGCGGUGUUUUAGUCAGCUUUUCACUUCUGUGACCAAAUGGCCUGACAAGAACAACUUCAGAGGAGGAAAGGUUUAUUUGGGGCUCACAGUUUCAGAGGUCUCAGUUCAUAGAAUGGCCAACUGCAUAGCUCUGGGCCCAAGAUGUCACACAAAAUCAUGGUGGAAAUAUGUGGAGGAGGAAAUCAGCUCAGAACAUGGCUUCAAGAUGCAGAAAAAGACUGAGCUUUGCCCAUCAGGGACAAAAUAUAUACCCCAAAGGCAUGCCCCCAAUGACUUGUCUCCUCCAGCCACAUUAUACCUGCUUAUAGUUACUACCCAGUUAAUCCAUCCAAGUGGAUUAAUGCAGUGAUUGUUAAGACUCUCAUAACCCAAACAUUUUACCUCUAAACUCUCUUGCAUUGUCUCACGUAUGAGCUUUUGGGGAACACCUCAUAUCUAAAGUAUAACAAGGGGAUUGAAUGCAAGGGUGAUAUACCUUUUAUCUUUUGAGGCAGGUUUCUUUAAGUUGCCUAUGCUGGGCAAGUGGGAUCCUCUUUCCUUAGUCUUCUGAGUUGCUGUGAUUCUAAGUGUGUACCUACCACACUCAGCCUCAGUGACAUAUUUGCAGAGAUAUUUUUUGCACAUGUGCACAAAAGAAUAUCUUACAAGUACACUGUAAAAUAAUCUUGUAGAAGGUCUUUGUUAAAUGGUAUGCACUUUUAAAGUUUUGAUGGGUAUUACAAAAUUGUCCUCUGAGGGGUUGGGCAUGACCAUCAACUGUGUUUAGUAAGAUUAUCACCUUCAAACUGGAUGACUGAUAGAUGGCUCCUUUUCCUCUGAAGCUAACUGGGAGGGGGCUUUUUUGGUGGGGAGGGAGAUCUUCAGCCUUCUUUGCUCUGGAUUGUCCUGGGCUUUCCUCCUCUCUUCCCAGCACACUCACAUCUGAGGUCAUAGAAACCCCAAAUCCAGAAAGCAUCUGAGUUUCCUCCUGGCUUGUCCUCUGCACCUGGUCUAGAGGCUCUCAGAGGUCUACCUGGACAUGUAUUUUCCUUGGUUAUAUCCCAUGAGAUACUAUGUCAGGCCUUUAGACCCUUGCUGGGCCUUGGUCCAGAGAGAUUGAGGAAGAUGGAAAAGGGGAGGGGGGAGAAGGGAAGAAGGAGGAAAAAGGGGAGGUGGGAGAGAGCGAGAGAGGGCUAACUUUCUUGUUCUUAUUGCACGUCUGUUCUGGACUUAUUUUCUUUAGAUAUUGAAUCUUAAAGGAAACUUUGAACCACCAGUUCCUUCCUUAGUCAUUUUAAUCUGCUGUUCAUCAGCAGGGUCUUUAAGAUCAGUCACAUCACGGCCACCCAGGUUGUUUCUUUGCUUGCUGAUGUUUAAGCCCACAAGCAACUAGAGUUGGAAAAGACCUGAGGGAGCAGGGAAUCCAGUGUCUUUCAAAAUCUUCUACUUGGAGAGGAAUGAUGUCCCAUGAGAUGCCUCAGGGAUCCCUGAGGGAGACUGGAGGUUGGGAUCUGCAGAGCAGAGUGUAGGUGGUCAAGGUUCUGGGCCACUCAGUUUUGCCUUAAUCAGAAAGGUUACAUUUUUAUCUAGCUUAUUGAACAUCUGUGUAAUAUAUUUUAAAAGGGACUCUGCUGCCUAAGAAAAAAAGUUAAAAAUAAAAUCCCACUGAUUCAGUCUAAUUAUUUCUCUCUCUCUCUCUCUCUCUCUCUCUCUCUCUCUCUCUCUCUCUCUCUCUAUAUAUAUAUAUAUAUAUAUAUAUAUAUAUAUAUUUGUCAAGAGAAGAGAGUUGACUUACUCAAGGUCACCUGGGUAUUUAUUUAAAUGGAGGGAUUUGGACUCUACAGACUUCCAUCCAAUUCAGUGCUUCCCUUAGAACACGGAUGAAGUAAGGACUUAUAAUUGAAGCAUAGAGCCCCUUGUAAACCCCUCAUGUGACAGAGAGGCCUACACCUCUAGUUUAAAUUCAGACCAAACCUUUGUUGAGAUUUCUUCACUCCUUAAAAAAAUAAUUUUCGCUUUUACACUGAACCCAUCUGGGACUAAAUGUGUUGAAAGACUCUCAGCAAAGCUGUUCUCACCAUACAGAUUUCUUUUCGUCUGGAAAUUCCAGAAGGACUUGCCAUAUAGUGUGUCUCAGGAGAAAACUGCUAAGAUACAUUCUCUGACUAUGUUCAUCUGACUCCAUUCCUCUUCCCUCUGGAGAAUUUGGAGAACUAUCUAGGUCUGUCCCAAAAUUUUAGAUCCGCUUGAGGUAUCAAAGCCACCAAAACGCAGGGAUCCUUUGGUGUCUUAUUUCUAAAGUCACCAUUACUAAUCCUAUUUGUUCUAAAAAACUAAUGUUCACCUGCUUCCAUAGGUGCUACAACACCAGGCCAUUGACACAUUUAUGCUGUUAGGGAUUACCUGCAAAAAAGUACAUAGAAAACAGAGACACAGGAGGAAACAAAAUACAUGCACAACAUGCAUAGAAAAUAGACAUGAGGUCAACUCUCAAACAUAUAUUUCUAAGCCCAAACUAAGGCAUCUGAGAAAUGGAUUGGAAAUGAGAAAAUCACAAAAUUCUAGAGAGUAGAAGUUUUAACCUAGGGUCUAUUGGCAGCAGCUCCCUCUGUAGUAGCCCUUGCCGAAGGCAGAAUUUCCUUAAUUCUCGGGUCAGAGUUUCCUCUCCUUUAGUCUUUCCCAGUUACAGCCACUUGAAGCAUCUUUUUUAAAAAGUCAUUUUUGUGGUGUUUAGUUACACCCUUCAAAUGCUUGUGGGUAUUUAUAUCCCCCUUCAGACAUCGUUUGGCCAAGUUCUACAUAUUUAAUUCUUUUACUUUUCCCUCAUAAAUGAAUAUUUCUGGCUCUUUGAUCCUCCCCUCCCCAUGUAGAAGCAAACUGAACCAAGCUAUUGAUGGGCUCAGCCCUCCUUCUCUCCCAACAACAGGGAGGAGGGCAGGUACUUAGUACGCUGCUUAGCCCAGUAGAAGUAUACAGAUGUUCUUAGUGCAAGGCACAGAGGAAGCUGUGGUUUUGAAAGUUAUUUGGAUGGAGUGAUGAGAGAUUUGCAUGGGGAAGUGAGGAGCGACAGAAAUUUAUAUCAAAGGCUUGGCUUCUCGUAUGGGGCCUUCUGGAAUUUCCUUGCCUUAGAAUCCCUCCCUAUGCCAAAUCAGACUGAAUAAAUAGAUCUGGAAAAUCCCAUAGCCUGACUUGUUUACCCUGGCUGCUUUUAUUUGAUAACCUGGAUAUUAGAAGUAUGGUGGGAUUUGGUUUUGUUCACUUCUUAGAACCUAGUUUGAUCAUCCUCCUUCAUGGUGACAUUAGGAAGCCCAGGCAAUCUAUUCUAGUGAAGGGCAUUCAUAGUCCUCCAUGAGGAUUGUCAUUUGGAUUUAGUCUUUGAGAUGCAUGUGUGUGCGUGAGUGUCUGCAUUUCUCUCUUGUUGUGUGGCUGUGUGAGAGUGUUGAUGGAAGCACCCUGUUUAUUAUGGGGUGUGAUGGAGCACAGAUACAGGCAGGGUCUGUGAUUCAGGAACUGGUUCUGGAGCAUUAAGAAAGAUCAUAAGGGCUGGGGAUGUGGCUCAAGCGGUAGCACGCUCGCCUGGCAUGCGUGCGGCCCGGGUUCGAUCCUCAGCACCACAUACAAACAAAGAUGUUGUGUCUGCCAAAAGCUAAAAAAAAUAAAUAUUAAAAAAUUCUCUCUCUCUCCUCUCUCACUCUCUCUUAAAAAAAAAAAGAAAGCUCAUAAAUGCAGGCCUUCAUUAGAAUGGAGGAUUUGCACCAGGUUUGAGGAGCUGAUGUGUGCAGACAAAUGUUACUCAAAUGCUGGGAACAGUGGUGGGCACAUUUUUCUUGGGGCUUGGCCCUGGGAUGCUACAGAAAAUUCUCAGUAUUGCUAAUCAGAGAGGAAAGUGAGUCAAUAUCUCCUUUCUACUGCCAGAUGCUAUCGUUUAAAACUAGACUAAGGUGGAGGGGGAACAAUUAGAAGUAGAAGAAAGAAUGACAGGAAGAACAGAGGCAAAUAUAUAAGGACUCAUGAACUAGAAUCUUUCCUUAACUAGAUUCAGGUGACUUUUAGCUCCGGAGAUUUGUUUAUUUGUUUGUUUUCAUCUUUAAUGCUGCCUGUGUUUUCUCUGGUCUUCUCAAGGACUGACUUGAGGCCAGGACUCUUGAAAGAGGACAUGAACAUGCUGCAGUCCAUUGUGGACUUUUCCAUUAGACAAAUCCUAUCUAAUAUGGCAAAACUCUGUCCCAUCAACAUUGCCCUGGUUUUCUCACUGCAUUCAUUCAUUCCAUAAACUUUUGAGCAACAGUUUGUGGAUAUUCUGUCACUGUCAUUACCUAACAUGGUUGUCUUUUCUCUUUUUUUAAAUAUUUUUUUUAGUUGUAGUUGAUCAAGAUACCAUUAUUUUAUUUUUUUACAUUUUUAUAUGGUGCUGAGGAUCAAACCCAGUGCCUUGCAUGUGCUAGGAGCGCUCUACCACUGAGCUACAACCCCAGCCCCCUGUCUUUUCUUUUUGGUUCUACUCAUAACUCUCACUUUUAUAAAUCAUCAUUCAUUUUUCUCAUCCAAUCAUCCAAUUAAUCAUUUGCCAGAUAUUUGUUAGACAUAUAAUAUGUGCAUGGGACGUAUUUUGAUAGGGAAGUCUAAGUUAUAGACCAGUCUCUUAGGCCUUCAGACUCUAGGUAGUGCAGGCCAAGCUCUCAAAUUAUCUCUUUCUAGCCUCUUGCAUAGGGUUUGGGUGGAGAUGGGAACUGCACAGUACUCUGGCAACUCUCUUCAAAGAAAUCCUCUCUCCUGACCCUCCAACUUGUAUUUCUUAUAUGGGUUAAAGGUAGGUUCAGGGCCCUGUCUCUAUCCUGUCACCCCUGACACUUGUAAGUCUUGAAAGGAUGGUCUAGCAUGAUUUGAACUAUGGUUUUAUUUCUUCAGGGUCCUCUGCCCAAAGUUUGAGGGAACAGGAAGAUAAAAAGAGCUGCAUUUAACAUCUGGCCACACAUAUAUGCUCUGCUAUGGGAAGAUAUCCCAGGGAGGCUCUCCAGGGGAGAAGCAGGGAGGAAGGAAGGAAGAAAGAAGAAGAUAAUCACAAGAAGGCAGAAAGGUGAGAAACUCAGACACAAGAGCAACCAAAUUCUGAGUAAAACCAGGGGUCCUUUUAUCACCCCCUGACCAUCUGCUCUCCAUAUUCUUUAUCUUGCCCCUUUCUUUACCCUAUUCUAUAUGCUCAAGUAACUCCUCCCCUUUGCCAUUCCACUUUACUUUUAUUUCUUCUUUUUUUUUUAUUUUUUAAAGUAUUUUUUUUAGUUGUAGAUGGACUCAAUAUCUUUA
rnacentral:lncRNA from 1 species